UUACGGCCAUAUUCCGCUGAAACACCGGUUCUCAUUCAACCACCGAAGUUAAGCAACGUCAGACCUGGUCAGUACCUAGAUGGGUAACCGCAUGGGAAUGC